AUUUCUUCGGAAUGAAGUUUUGUGACUGAGUGGCGGACGGGUGAGUAACGCGUGGGUAACCUGCCUCAUACAGGGGGAUAACAGUUGGAAACGACUGCUAAUACCGCAUAAGCGCACAGGAUUGCAUGAUCCAGUGUGAAAAACUCCGGUGGUAUGAGAUGGACCCGCGUCUGAUUAGCCAGUUGGCGGGGUAACGGCCCACCAAAGCGACGAUCAGUAGCCGACCUGAGAGGGUGACCGGCCACAUUGGGACUGAGACACGGCCCAAACUCC
rnacentral:rRNA from 1 species